rnacentral:rRNA from 1 species
UACGAACCGUACGAACGUUAUUCGGAAUCACUGGGCUUAAAGAGUGCGUAGGCGGCUUGGCAAGUUGGGUGUGAAAUCCCUCGGCUCAACCGAGGAAUUGCGCUCAAAACUGCUAAGCUUGAGGGAGAUAGGGGUGAGCGGAACUAAUGGUGGAGCGGUGAAAUGCGUUGAUAUCAUUAGGAACACCGGAGGCGAAAGCGGCUCACUGGGUCUCUUCUGACGCUGAGGCACGAAAGCUAGGGGAGCGAACGGGAUUAGAUACCCCAGUA